UACGAAGGGGGCUAGCGUUGCUCGGAAUCACUGGGCGUAAAGCGCACGUAGGCGGCUUUUUAAGUCAGGGGUGAAAUCCUGGAGCUCAACUCCAGAACUGCCUUUGAUACUGGGAGCUCGAGUCCGGGAGAGGUGAGUGGAACUCCGAGUGUAGAGGUGAAAUUCGUAGAUAUUCGGAAGAACACCAGUGGCGAAGGCGGCUCACUGGCCCGGUACUGACGCUGAGGUGCGAAAGCGUGGGGGAGCAAACAGG
rnacentral:rRNA from 1 species